rnacentral:rRNA from 1 species
GUGCCAGCAGCCGCGGUAAUACCGGCAGCCCGAGUGAUGGCCGAUCUUAUUGGGCCUAAAGCGUCCGUAGCUGGCCGACCAAGUCUCCCGGGAAAUCCACCCGCCCAACGGGUGGGCGUCCGACGGAAACUGCACAGCUUGGGACCGGAAGGCUCGAAGGGUACGUUCGGGGUAGGAGUGAAAUCCCGUAAUCCUGGACGGACCGCCGAUGGCGAAAGCACGUCGCGAGAACGGAUCCGACAGUGAGGGACGAAAGCCAGGGUCUCGAACCGGAUUAGAAACCCUAGUAGUCC